rnacentral:misc_RNA from 1 species
UCCCGGUUAACCCGGGCAGUCUCGUUAGAGUUCCCGCCAUUACGCGUUGGCAACUAACGAUAAGGGUUGCGCUCGUUGCUGGACUUAACCAAACACCUCACGGCACGAGCUGACGGCAGCCAUGCAGCACCUAUAUAGAGACCCUUUCGGGAAAUACCAUCUCUGAUAUCGUCCUCUACAUUUCGAGCCCAGGUAAGGUUCUUCGCGUUGCAUCGAAUUAAGCAACACGCUCCGCUGCUUGUGCGGGCCCCCGUCAAUUCCUUUGAGUUUUAACCUUGCGGCCGUACUCCCCAGGCGGGGCACUUAAUGCGUUAGCGACGGCGCGGAUUCCGUUGGUUGGAACCCACACCUAGUGCCCAACGUUUACGGCAUGGACUAC